UCCAAAUAUGUGGAAUAGAAAUGGUUAUAUUGGAGGAUCCCCUACUGGCAUUGUAUUAUUUCUAUUCUUGAAAGAUCCACUAAUGGCAUUGAAUCAUUAGACACUUAGGCAUGUCAACUGAAAGAUGUAGUGGAAAUAGCCCAGCACUGAAGCACGAGGAGAUCCAGCUACUGGUUCCACAUCCAGUAUCAACUAGUUGCUCAACCUUGUUGGAAACAUAUCUACUACUUGGCUGACAGCUCUAAAGAUCUUAAACUCUACAGAGGACUCCAGUUCUUAAAAGACAAUGCAAGUUGGUACAGCCUCUUUGGAGAACAGUGUGGAGAUUCCUCAAGAAAUUAAAAAUAGAGCUUCCC